rnacentral:rRNA from 1 species
CCUACGGGCGGCAGCAGUGAGGAAUAUUGGUCAAUGGUCGGGAGACUGAACCAGCCAAGCCGCGUGAGGGAGGAAGGUACAGAGUAUCGUAAACCUCUUUUGUCAGGGAACAAAGACUGGGACGCGUCCCCGGAGGAGUGUACCUGAAGAAAAAGAAUCGGCUAACUCCGGGCCAGAAGCCGCGGAAAUCCGGAGGAUGCGAGCGUUAUCCGGAUUUAUUGGGUUUAAAGGGUGCGCAGGCGGUCUGUUAAGUCAGCGGUAAAAGCCCGGGGCUCAACCCCGGCCCGCCGUUGAAACUGGCAGUCUCGAGUUGGAGAGAAGUAUGCGGAAUGCGCGGUGUAGCGGUGAAAUGCAUAGAUAUCGCGCAGAACUCCGAUUGCGAAGGCAGCAUGCCGGCUCCACACUGACGCUGAGGCACGAAAGCGUGGGUAUCGAACAGGAUUAGAUACCCGAGUAGUC